rnacentral:siRNA from 1 species
UAGAUCUCUCAGUUGUUAAACCU